rnacentral:rRNA from 1 species
UACGUAGGGCGCAAGCGUUAUCCGGAAUUAUUGGGCGUAAAGAGCUUGUAGGCGGUUUGUCGCGUCUGCCGUGAAAGCCCAGGGCUUAACCCUGGGUCUGCGGUGGGUACGGGCAGACUAGAGUGUGGUAGGGGAGACUGGAAUUCCUGGUGUAGCGGUGAAAUGCGCAGAUAUCAGGAGGAACACCGGUGGCGAAGGCGGGUCUCUGGGCCGAUACUGACGCUGAGGAGCGAAAGCGUGGGGAGCGAACAGG